rnacentral:lncRNA from 1 species
CUUUAGUCUUUUGUGUCAACUUUCAAUUUUUCUUCAACUUAGUUUUCAUAAUAUUUUAUCUUUUUCUUUUUUUCUCAAUGACUUUCUUCAGACUGUGGGAAGAUAUGUAGUCUUUCGUCUCGAGAGCUGACAAGUGAAAAGAGGGAAGGCAACUGUUUUCUCAGUUCUCAGGAACAGGUUUCAGGCUGUGGCACUUCUCUGAAAAUUCCCUUGAAGGGUUUCUUCGGGGGUGGUGUCCACAGUGGUGGGAGGAGGAGUCUACACUCCUGCUCAACUGGAGAGCAGUGUCGCAAGAACCUCUUUUAGAAAUGUGUGUGACAAUCGCACCUACACAACUUCAGACCAAUUCUUAUCCAAGUUUCCAGGAACCGGAAUUUUCUCUGUCUGAUAGAAAUGCUUCUGGUGUAGUCCAGGCUAGCCUCGGACUCUCCAGGUACCCAAGGAUGACCCUAAAUUUCUGAUUCCCUCUCCCAGUGCUGAGAUUACAGGCUCUGUCCACCAUGCUUGCUUUUUUUUUUUUUGUUUGUUUUGUUUUGUUUUUGUUUUUGGUAGGGAUUGAACCCAGGUCUUCAUGCAUGCAAGGUGAGCACUCUCCUAACUGAGCCACAUCCCAGACCCUUCUGUUUUCUGGUCUGUUCCGGUGCAGUCAGGGGCUGCUAGAGACAAGGCAUAGGUGGUAGUGGUGGCUCAACCAAACGUGGGCGAGCCUGAACUCUCAGUUGCUCCUUCACCAGAGCAGGCCCACAUGUGCAGGCAGGAGGCAACGCUCCCUGUAUGCUGCUCUUCAUGCUGUCCUAGAAUUUCCUCCUCUGUAAUAUAUAGCUUCUAACCUCUGCCUGCUACAUAGACAGUGACCCACUGGGACUUACUGAACCUGGCUCACCUGUGUAUCGGUCAAUCUUCACUUGCAUCGUUUCUGUCUUUUGGCUUCUGUGGGUGAUGCUGGUGACCAAGUGUCUGUAUCAACAGGGACUAGAAAUGAUAGAUGAUAAACAGUGUCUAUGUUUAUCUGGGAGAGGGGAAAACAACUGUUUUCUACCCUAGCUGCCCUGCUUUAACAUUCCCACCAGCACUGUAGAAAGAGGCCAAGACCUUUGAGUUUCUAAUGCAAGAAAUCACUGUGAGAUUCAGCGCUGAAGAUCGCCCAUUUUCUUCUAAGAGGUCCAUAGUCUUAGUUCUAAUGUUUAAGUUCUAGACAACUUCCAGUUAAUUUUUGAUGUAUGAGGUUGAGUUCCAUUUUUGUCCUUUUGUACACUCAUUUUCUACUUUUUUGUCAUAGCGGAACAAGACUGUCUAAAGAGAAACCUGAGCUUUUAAUUUGGUCUUGGGCCCCUGCACUUGGCUGAAUGUCCCCACAGCUCCAGCGAUCACACACAUGUAUUGUUCUUUCCUUACAACUGUCUAUAUAUUGGAUCUGAGCACAUUUUUACUUCCUUCCUUUCCACUCUAGAUGUUGUUGUUAUUUGUAACUGAACACCUUCCUGUCUUCUAUGCCCACAGACUGCUGUGGAACACUAAUUAUGCUCCUUCUAAAGUCUUAUUCUGCUUGUUCGAUUCCCUGUGGGUCCUUGAACGUUUCCGGGAUGCUCUCGCUUCAGCUUUUGUGACGCUUGUUUCCUUGGGUGUGUGUUCAAGCAGUGGCUCAGGGCUGGGAGCUCAUCCAUGGCUUUUCCUUUCCUGUUUACCCAGUGAAGAUGCUGCAGUUCUUCCUGCCGCUCCCUCCUAGGCAACAGUGGGGAACAUCUAGCCUUGCAUCUGUGAACCCAGUGAGGCACUUCCCAAAGUCGGACUUCCUGGUCUAGUGGGGUUUUCCGGACUCUUUCUGGCCUCCAAAGCCCAGGAGACUUACCAUUUUGUAAGGUGAGGAAGGCACAGGGCCCAAACUUCUGCUCUCAGCAGCCUGACA